ensembl:lncRNA
UGAAGCCCCAGAUCACAGCAGAAGUCGUUUACGGUUCCCUUUACUACAGAACAUGUUUAUACCUUGUUACAUGACGCCAUAUUUCUGUCUCUAUGGCCCGGUGCUCUGUUCCACCCGGAUGAGCACACUCCUAGUGGACAUUCUGUAGUGCCUUUAACAUUCCAAACGGGUACUAAGCCAGCGAGGGACACGCGUGUUCUAGGCUAUGAAACAGUUCAUCGUCCAAUGUGCCUUAUCUACAUCGCUCAAAGAAGGUAAAGGAACACUCAAGAUCUCAAUGUGAAUUUAAUGUCUGAGGAGUGAAAGGAUGCCACAUCUUUUGAUGGAAAUAAAAGUUUCAGCCUACACGGGGCUUAAUUUAACACCUCAAAUCAAUGGGAAGAAUGAUGUUGCAGGGAAGUCCAUUCAGCCCGUCAUCCUCCAGGUACUGCCUGCAUACUCUUACCCCAUAAGGCUUGGCAUUGUGGUGCAUCAGGAGUGUUAAAGGCCUUCAGUCAACUUCUGUUGAGCUACAGAUGCAGGGUUCCUGCGGGUCCUUAAAAAGUCUUCAAUUAAAAUUUGGGUAAUUAAGGUCUUAAAUUGUCUUAAAUUUCACAUAAAGUUGCUGUAGGUAUUAAUUUUUUUGCCGGUGCGCUUAAUGCCGAUGAGAAAGCACAGUGGCGCAUCGUAAAACAUCUAAUAUAUUCAUCUAGUAUUGUGCUAAAUGCGUCUCCGCAAUAGAAUAUCUGUUUACGGUACGUCGGCUACAGACGCUGACGUCAGGCUGCGUGUCGCAAAUUUAACGACAAGUGGAUGGAAGAGGACGCGUUUAGGAGGCGGUCGGCGCCGGUUGAAAACAACAAUGAGGCGAUGUGUAAACUCUGCAAAAAGACCUUUUCAGACCGUGGGGCUCAAAGCCGUCGAGUCGCACAUGAAAGGAGGAAAGCACCAGCGAUACGUUGCAGCAGCUAGCCAUAGCCAUAGCCGUAGCCAUAGCGGGGCCAGGUUAAUCCCUGCAAGUUCACACGCCACCUCUCAGUCGGCUGUAACAGGUUUCAUUUCAACACCAGACACCCAAAAGGCAGAGGUACUGUGACGAGGCACAAUUCAUUUAAAUCUAAUGGUGACAUACGUGGCGUCUUUGCUGCCAUGUUCCCGAUUCACAGCUUGCAAAGUCAUUCACCUGUGGUGAAAAGAAAACGGCAUAUGUCGCCAAAUAUGGCAUCGCCUCAUUCAUCAAAAAGCAGCUAUCGCGCAGCGUUAGUGAGAAACCAUAUGUUGUCAUGUUUGACACACGUAUGAAUAAAAGGACAAAGAGCAAACAAAUGGACCUUCAUUUGCGAUUCUGGACGACUGAUGAUGAGACUGGCACACCCCACGUCAUCUCCCGCUACUAGGGGUCGGAGUUCAUGGGUCGCUCCAGAGCUGAGGACAUGUUGGGUCAUUUCAAUGUAAGUAACGUUACCAUUGUGUUUGCUGUAAAAUUGAGUAACCUUAGUGCGGUUUAAAGCUCGUAUGCUACCGGUGCAAAAUUCACCAUUGCAUUUAUAGGCCACACGCAUAUAAUUAUAUAAUGAUUAACGUUAAUUAUCGCGUGUGUUUGUGUAUGUUUGCAUUUUAUUGUUUAGGUGUAAAUAUGUGAAUACAUAUUCGUGUGUGUGUGUCAGGGGUUUUGAUGGAUGUUUUUGAUCUCUCUGCUAUAUAAGCACAACCAUUAUUAUUAUUAUUAUAUAAUGUGGAUUACUUGGCACAUUAAAUUGAUCUUUUUUUUUUUUUUCCCAAUGUGAAAGGUAGAAAGGAGCUGAAUCUGAACAAUAUGCUAUAUCUCUGUCAAUGGACCCGCUGUUAACUGUAAGUUUGUUGAACUCUUGCAAGAGGAACACAGAGAGCAGUGUGGUGGAGCCCAACUACAAAUAAUUGGGAGUUGUGGCCUUCACACGAUGCACAACUCGUUCAAGAACGGUUUUGCGGUGUGGCAAGUUGAGAAAGUCCUGAAAGCCCUGCACUACCUGUUUCAUUGUGCUCCUGCAAGGAGAGAAGACUUUGUUAGGGACCAAGUGUGAUACAUUUCCUUUGCCAUGUUGUGGACAUCAAUGGCUGGAAAACCUUCCAGCAGUGCAGAGAGCCAUUGAAAUGUGGCCAUAUAUUGUCACCUAUGUGGAUCAGGUCAAAGCCAAGAAGCUCCCCAAUCCAAGGUCAUCGUCAUGUGACACCAUCACAGAAGCCCGGAUGAUCCUUUAAUCUUGGCAAAGUUGCACUUCUUCAUGAGUGUCUCAAGAAGUUUUCAGCCAUUUCCCACCAAGUACCAGACAGAUGUCCCGAUGAUUCCCUUCCUCGGCAGGGAUUGAGGAUCUAAUCAGGACGCUUCAUAAAGCGAGACGUCCAGGUUGAUGUUGCCCCAGUAAAGCUGGUCAAGUUUGAUGUGACAGACCAAAAGCUUUGGGUCAGUCCAAAGCAAGUGGGCAUUGGCAUGGGAGCCACAGCUGCCCUCAAGGUGAUACGAUUGCCCAACAAUUUCAGAAGUUGCUCUUCAGUGAGGCCAGAGGAGAGGAAUUCAUGGCCUUCAGUGCAUUGGAUGGAAAAUCGCGAGUUGACAGCUUCCUGCAUACGGCCAUGAAUGGAUAUGCAGAACUUGCAGAACUUGCUGCUGCUUCUGUCCCAUGGACAAGCUACUGUGGAGCGUGGGUUCUCCAUUAACAAGGAGGUGGAGAUGUGCAAUAUGAACGAAGACACUAUAGUCUCACAGAGACUAAUCUGCGACUAUGUGAGGAUGUGUGGUGGAGUGGUCAAAGUGCCAUUGACUAAAGAGCUGCUAAAUGAGGUUGCAUCUGCACGCAACCGGUACAGGAUCUUCUUGGAAGAUGAGAGGAAGAAAAAAGAAAAGACAAAACAGACGAACAAAGAGAAAAGGGGUUGAAGACGAGCUUGAAGAGCUACGCAAGAAAAGAAGAACAAUCAACUGUGUGUGAAACUCUAGAAAAGGACGCAGAGAAGGCUGAGAAUACAGCAGGGACCAAGAUGGCAGAACUUAGACCUUUCUAUUCAUUGGUUUCUCUCAUGAAGAGUCAUGUGAUAACAUUUGUGUUUUCAAGCAGUUACUAUUUUCAUUAUUCAAUAUGGUUCCUUCAUGCAAUGCGUUGUGUUGUUUAGUGUGUUAUGUUGGCUCUGUUCUGCAUCACAAAGGAAUCACUUUGAUUGUUACAUCUAUAUUGGCCAAACAGUGUUGGAAGGGUUAUUGUCAGUUAUUAUACUGUCUCCUAAUUUGAGAAAAAGUUUUGAUUUCCAUUGUAGGAGGCAAUAAAUUGCGUAUUCCAAAGAAAUUGUGACAUUUUUGGGUCUUAAAAAGCAUUAAAUUUUACUUUUGAAAUGGUGCAAGAACCCUGCGAUGUGUAUGUACCUCCAGAAUAACCCGGAUGACGCGCAUUGAUGAGUCUUCUCUGCACGUUGUUAUUUUGCAAUGUUGUGUGGGAAACAUUAGAUCGAGUGCACGGGUACGUAGUAGAAGUAGUAGUACUUUUUCCUAGUAGAGUCACUACUAGAAGUAGUAUUUUAGUACUACUACUAGGAGUCAUUUUAAUAGUAGUAGAAAUACUACUAGAAGUAGUGAUAGUAAUAGUAUCAUUUGUAGUAGUACUGCUAGUUGUAGUAGUGAUAGUAUAAUUUGUAGUAGUAGUACUAGUUGUGGUAGUAAAAUGAGCAUGAGGCAGUGCCACAAAGGCAAUCAAUGAUAGCCUAGCUAGCUAUCAUUUUCACUGGCUGUUUGAGCCACUUCUAGCGCCGUGUGUCUGUCAGACUAGUAGGGGAGGGAGAGUGAGUGCUGGUACGAGGCUGUGUGGUCGUCAUGGAGACAUGUAAAUGGAUUUUACCGAGAAACCACACCUCAAACAAGUUGUCAUAACUGCAAAACUAUAGUACCUAUCCAAAAAAUAAGUUUCUUUGAGAGACCCAAGACUCUACCGAACGUAACCAUUUGGUCUUUAUGUCUGUCCGGUAAUAAAUACGGCUCCUGUGGCAUUUUACAAAACGUGUACCUUCUGGAUCUUUUGAGAAAUAUGUCCACAGAUUUGUAUUGGAGCCUAUGGGGCUUUUGGCAGAGGUUGUGUGACUGUUGGUCUCCUGAGGCCAAAGAACUCUGGGAUUCCAUAGCCACAUUAAUCCAAUCAGCACAACCGUGCCAUCAUCCAACCUAAAAAUGAAGCCUCAAAAGUGUAUUCCUGGCUGUCAGGACAGAAGUGCCAUGUUUUUUGAACCAGAGAGAUCAAGAGGGAGAAACUUGAAUUUGGCUCCACAUGCAAAACCAGUCCUGUUUUGGGGGUUGUCUCAUUGUUGCCCCGCUAGUGCACCUGUUAUCAGACGUGCAAUUCCUUUAAUUUUUUUCCAAGCAGUUUGUUUUCGAUCCAUUGAUCCCAUUCAUUACAGUUUCCUUGUCGCCUUCAUUACUAUUAUUUCAUAUCGGUCUGUGCCAGUUCAGGUCAAGACAAAAAACGAUUGGCUUCCUGUCCCCACACACACACACACACACACACACACACACACACACACACACACACACACACACACACACACACACACACACACACACACACACACACACACACACCUGUUUCCCAUCACCAUGCACUCACCAAUAUCCCCUCGCGCAUCAAUGCUCCCCCUUGUGAUCAAUGUCAUUACUACCUAUGUUGAUUUGGUGUUUCCCUCAAACAGACAAACUGCAUUCUGGUCCAACAGCCUCUUAUUAUUGGAAUUUUGUUACAAUUUAAAUUUGAUUAACAACAAACUAACUUUUGGUUUAUUCUAAUGUACAGGUGUAUUUUUAUUUAACUACAAGAUGGUGCUAUCUGUAGAGCACACAGCUGGCAAGAAGAUGCAACUGAUAUACAAUGAUCGCAUUAUUACCAAUGAUGUGAUUUUCGGAAAACUGCUUGAAAUAUAUGAAAUUGGUUUCCAACUUUCUUGCUUGGUCCCUUUUGACGACACGUGCAAACUUUGGACUUUGGAAUCCUCAAUAGUGCUAGAUUUCAAUGCACAUAUUUACUUUUCUUUACUGUGAACAAUUACCUGCAAAACCUAAGCCAAUGCAAUCAGCCACUUCUGUACUCUGUUUAAUGCUUUAAGCAAAUGUAGGAUUCAUUUUGAUUAACAAA